UACGUAGGUGACAAGCGUUGUCCGGAUUUACUGGGCGUAAAGAGCGCGCAGGCGGUCGAUCAAGUCGAGUGUGAAAGCCCCCGGCUCAACUGGGGAGGGUCAUUCGAUACUGAUCGACUCGAAGGCAGGAGAGGGUAGUGGAAUUCCCGGUGUAGUGGUGAAAUGCGUAGAUAUCUGGAGGAACACCGGUGGCGAAGUCGGCGUUCUGGACUGCAACUGACACUGAGGAACGAAAGCCAGGGGAGCAAACGGG
rnacentral:rRNA from 1 species